GCUGGAAUAGUUUAAUUGGUAAAACUUGCCUUUCAUAGUGGCACAAAAAAGGUUCAAAUCCUUUUUCCAGCU